CGGCCGCGCGGGGAGCGCGGGGCGCAGGCGGCCGGGCAGGCUCAUGCGCAGCUCCUUCCGCUGGAAGGACGUCUCCCGCAGCACGCGCCGCUGCGCGCCCUGCAGCCGCUGGCGGAUGGUAGAGAAACUUUUGAGGUCGAGAUGGCAUGGACAGUGGGACAAGAACACAAGUCUGGACGUCGGGAACCUCAUUAUUGACGAAACUGGCCCGUUCCCAUUACUCAGCCUCACCUCUGCCCUGGCACCUCCCGCCCUGCUGCGGACAGGCGCAUGCUCAAACCCCAGUUCCACCCAGGCUGCUUCCUGACCAUUCUGUUAGCUUCUCUGUGUGAUCUUGCCCCGAUAAACAAGGAUCAAGAAUGUUCUGAGAUCACAGAGGAGCCCGCAGAAGGGGGGCGGGGGAGGGUAAGAGGCAAGGCAGGAGCAGAGGCAGCUUCAGGAGCCCUGUCUACCCUCGACCCCGUGGCCUUUUUGGUCCAGGUGCAGCAUAUAAAGACUCAUCUUAGUCCUCAUCUCCUUGCGUGCUUUUUACAGAUUAGAACACUGAGGUUCUGAGGAGGAAGCGAUUGGCCCAGAGGCACAUACAGAGCCCUGGCUGGAAUCUAGGCAUGCCUCCAAGCUCACUGCAGCCAAGAUCAAUUUUCCACAGGCAAACCCUGCCCAAAGUCCUUGCCAUGGCCCCUCUUUCCCCAAUAAACCCCAAAUCCCAAGCAAGUCACCCGAAGUACCAUAGAUUCCAGAAUAAUGCACUUGGAGGUCUUGGGGUUCUUUAGGAUUUCCACAGUGUCACUCAUUCUUGCUCCUCCCAGUCCCACUCCUGAGCUUCCUGGGGACAGGCUCUGCCCUUAUUUGCCACCCAGUACCUGGCACCAGCCCUGGCAUGUAGUCGAUGUUAAAUAAAUAGUUGCUGAGCGUCAAGGGAAGGGUCAGAGGUGUGGGGAGUGGAUGGAAGAGUGGCCUUGCUAGAGAAGAAAAGGCUUCGUGCCACUGGGCAGUGGUGGUGCAAGCUUUUAAUCCCAGCACUUGGGAAACAGAGGCAGUCGGAUCUCUAUGAGUUCGAGGCCAGCCUGGUCUACAGAGUGAGUUCCAGGACAGCCAGAGCUACACAGAGAAACCCUGUUUUCUCGGAAAAACAGAACAACAAUGAAAGGCUUCUUUUCCCCUUGCAUCAGUCUUUUCUGGAGAAGGCAAUAGAACGGGCAAGGAGGCCCUGGCCACGGUGGGUAUAACCAGGUUACUCAUGCAUUAUCAGGAAGAAACAGAGCCUGCGAGCAAGCAGGACUGGCUGGAAACUGAUCCCUCCCCAGUGCCGGGAGGCAGAGCCAGGGGAAGGCCUCUGUGGCUGUGCUGGGACUGGCUACGAGGUGUUUUGAGGCGGGGAUCUGUGACUCCCAAUGAACUCUGGUGGCAGUUUGUCUUCUUUGAGCUGCUGGGUGUGGGGGAAGAGAUUAGGGGUACACACCUGGGAUGUGGUCCAAAAGCAGGCCCUUUGGAGCUUCCCAGAAGCUUUGGAAUCCAGGGUCAUCCUGAAUUCCUCUCUAGAUGCAGGAUAUUAUACAUUGCCGGGAGCAAGUCCAGGAGCAGAAAGCCUUCCUAAAAAGGAGAGGCAAGCAAGCCUCUAGGUCCUAGACCAGGCAUCUUGAUGCUGGGGGGCUCUUCAUGCACAGCCAGAUUAGUCUUUACGCUCAGGUUUGGGGAUCUUUUUGUGAAGUCUUUCCACUCUCUAGACCUCAGGAAGGCAAGAAGCUGCGGAGUGACAGCCCCUAAGAGAAUACUCAAUUCUUCUAAACCGUCUACCCUGGCUGCUCAGGUACCAGCUCCCUUUUUCCUAAUUUUUAUUUUCUUUAAAAAGUUUUUUUUUUUUUUUUUUUGGCCAAGCAGUGAUAGCACACACCUUUACUCCUAGCACUCGGGAGUCAGAGGCAGGCAGAUCUCUGAGUUUGAGGCCAGCCUGGUGGCACAGAGAGAGUUCUAGGACAGCCAGGGCUAUAUGGAGAAACCUUGUCUUGAAAAACCAAUAAAAUAAAAUAAAAAAAAAUGUGUGUGUGGUAUAUGCUGGUGUCUGUGGAAGCCAGAGGUUGAUGUCUAGUCUCUUUUCACCCUCUUUUUUUUUUUUUUUUUUUUAAUACGGGGUCUUUUGAUUAUGUAGCCUUAAUUGUGCCUGCCUCCCCGGUGCUGGGAUGAAAGGCAUGUGCCACCACUGCCCCACUGAGACAGGCUUUGUUCCUGUCUGCACUUCUCCUCCACACCCAGCAGCAGUACCCUGCUCUUUACUUGGGUGUUGGGGACUCAAAGUCAGGUCCACGAGCUUGUCCCUUACUUACUAAACCUUACUAAGCCAUCUUCCCAACUCCCCUCUUCCUGAUGUUUCUAAGCCCGGAUCUUCCUUAAUCUUUUUAAGCGUAUACCACCCAUGCCUGGGCCAUGCUGGCCUGCCAAAAGGCAGCAGUGAUGAAAUACAAAGAUAGUUCCUCAAAGGGGGCUUUGAUGGUGGAGAGAUGGGUCAGUCGGAAAGAUGGCUGCCGAGCCUGACAACCUGAGUUCCAUCCUGAGGAUGCAAGUUCCAGGAGGCCUGUGUCAAAAAUCAGACAAACAAGCAAGCAAACAAAAAGAGUUGCCGCUUUUGCAGAGGACCCAAAUUUGGCUCCCUGGCAGCCGAGAAUCAUCUGUAAGCUGAGCUCCAGGGGAUCCCGUGCUCCCUUCUGGCCUCCACAGGCACCAGACGUGCAUGCGGUACACACACGUGGGCAAAACACUCAUACACAUAAAAAAAUACAUCUUAAAAACAAAAGGAACAAAAACAGCUUAAGGGACAGAAAGGUGGCUCACUGGGCAAAGCUGUUCACUGUGCAGGCAAUUUGAGUCUGAUCUCCAGGACCCCUAUGGAAAGUCAGGUUCAGGGGCUGGAGAGAUGGCUCAGCAAUCAGGAGCGCCUACUGCUCUCACAACCGACUUAGGUUUGGUUCCCAGCACCACAGGGCUCACAACCAACUGUAACUCAAGUUCCAAAUGAUCCAACACUCUUCCCAACGUACGCGCUUAGCUGUACGCACAUAAAAGAAAUGCUUUUGUCAGAUGUGGGUGGUGCCCAGCAGCAGCAGCCUCGGCUCGGUGACCGGCAGCAGCCUCGGCUCGGUGACCGUGAGGUGGGAAGCAGAACCAAGAGAAUCAGCUGGGAGCUUUGAAGGCCAGCUACCCUCAAAUAUGCUAGGCAGCGGCAGAAACAACCUGGCCCCACCUAGGGGGAAGGUGACAAGAGGACUCCUAAAAUCUCCCCUGAUUUCCGCAAACACACCGGAACACUCCAGCGUACACACUAACACACACACCCAAUAAGGUGAUUAACGAAAACACCAACUUAUAACGAGCCAUUAAAUGUGUACACAUCUGUUUUCUUAUUGCCCCUAACGUGUCUCCAGGACUCUGUUGCAUAGGUGGUCCCCGAAGGUUUCUGUUCAUGCAGAGCUCUGAUACUUGUGCCCUUUGCAGGACCUGCAGUGCCUCCGGGCCUUCGAGGCCUCAGCGCAAACAAGGGAUUUUCACACUUGUCCCCAGAGCAGGGGUUGUAGCAGCAUAGGGUCUGCUUAGAAAAUCAGACUGCGGUCCUGGGGGUGGAGGAAGGUGCUAGUCAGCUGAACAGAGGGGUACGGGAGCUGUGCUCAGGGUUCAGAGCCAGGGUUCCUAAGGGUGGAGGAUGAAACCGGGCAGCACUCAUUCAGUCUGGGGCCCCUGGGCUUUUCUGUGGCCAUGGCAAGUCUAGCCAUGUUUGAGAUGUGGCUCUGCUGCUCUAGAGUCAAGGUGGACCCAGGACUUCAGUCCAGGCUUGUUGGGGGCGAGGGUGGGGAGAGGAGUCGAUGAAGAUAGUCUUCAGUGGGCAAAACCGCACCAAGACAUCGCAUGCAAGCCCAGGGCCACGUGACAGGAGAGGCCCAGGAGAAAAGGCAACCUCAAAGCUAAGCUGGGAUGAAACUGUCCUUUCAAGGGCCACCUCCCAUCUGUCUUCCUGUGAGGACCUGCGCAGGCCACUCCUUGCCUCUUGGCCUUCCCUCAGUACUGUGGAGGCCCGUAACUGCGCUUCCCCACCCCCACCCCCACGCUCCUGGAGUCAGAGAUCCAGCGUUGGAGACCAGAUCUCAAAUCCUAGCAUCCCAGACUAGACCUUUCUGUCAAACUCACUGGUUCUCUGUGUCCUGUUUUCCAAGGCCGUGGGUGACAUUGCACCCCUGUGCGACAGAGCGACAUAGAGGCUAGUUAUACGGUCUCUAUAGCCCUGCUGAGAUCCCGCUUCCAGGACGUGUACAAAAUUCACACCCGGGUACAGCCGGUCACUGCCUCGGACAGAGCGCCUACCCGGCGCUUCAAAUUCUAGGCGAACCAGGGCUCAAAGACAGCUGGAGGGACGCCGCGAGGACCGCAUGGGGCACCAGAAUCCCGUGGAGAGACGAGAAAGGCGACGCUUGGGGGACACUAGGAGAACCGGUGGCCUCUAACCAGCCUGUUUUUUAGGCCUUCCCUGUGGAGUUCAAGAUCCGGAAAGAUAGGGGAUUGGGAGGGACCGGGAUUCUCCAGCAGCCGAAGCUUAAGAACAGAGAGGGUCGCGAGGCGGACGCCUCUGCUUGCUCCGUGUCCCUGCAACAGCCAGGACAGCUAGACAGCUCUGCGCCCUGCCCGGCCCGGCCGAGAGUGAAGGUGCGCAGGGGCUAGUAAAGGCACUAGCGCAGCCUGUCUGGACUCCAGGUCGGGAGGUCCAGACAGGAGGACGGUCCGGCAGCUUCGCAGCCACGGCUGUCACCGCCCCGACCCUCCCGUCCGGGUCUCCCUCCCGGGAAGCGGAUCCGUAGACCACGCGCUGCGCGUCCCCUCCCUCCCUUCCCGGCCCCGCCGCGUACCUGUGGCUCCAGCUCCAGACGCGCUGCAGGGCGCCCGCGACCGCGCAGUGACAUCCGAGCCGAGCCUCCGGCUCCAGCUUCCGACGCCACCUCCAGCCUCUAGUCGCCGCGGGAGAGGCGCCACCUCCGGCCGAGGGGGGCGGGAGCGGCGAGGGGCUCCGGGAGCCGCGCCCCUCCCUCGUGGGAUUCUGCGCGUGGCCCUCGACCGGAGGCCCCGGGUGCUCUCACCACAGCAGACAACCGGGGCCGGAGGGCGAUCGCACUCCCUCCUAGCCUCGGGGCGGAGGUCGGUCAACCCCGCCCCGGAGCACCAAAGUCUCACCUUUCUUUUUUUAACCUUAAAAAAAAAAAAUAAAUUACAUUUAUUUACUUA